UGGCUCUCGGAGUACAGAUGAUGCCAUUGUAAGCUGCAGAUGCUGGGCGUGGAGCCGCAGGGCUUGGAUUUUGCUGCUGAGCUCUUGUCUUGCUGCGGUCUGAUCUUUGCUUUCCUUCUGACCUCCAUUUUGAAUGUUCCCUGAGUCCAAGGAACGCGGCCAGCAUGCCUGUGGGUGUGGGGCCGUCCAAUGGAGCCUGGUCAGCCCACCAGCCCUCCCACCAGGAAGAAAAGCUGCUCCAGAGCUAAGGGUGGAGGUCAUGAGCCCCUCCCCCAUCAGUGCUGGAAUGCUGAUUGGCCUGCUUGUGUGCCGGUCUUGUGUGGGUCACCAUGGCUGCAGUGAGGUCCUGAGAGAGUAAGCUGUCUCCUGAAGAGAUGCUCCUCUCAUCCUUCGCUCUUGCUUCUUUCCAUCUGCCCUACUGUGGUGUUUGCCAAGUCUCUGGGGCUUGAUACUGAGUUUCCACUUAGAGCUGCGCACUCCAUCACGUAUUCUUAGGACUUUAACCAGUUAUGAGUUAUUGUUAUCAAUAAACUGAUAUGUAUGUGCA